rnacentral:lncRNA from 1 species
GGCCGUCCCGCGGGGCCGGGAGGCGAUGUCCGGCCGGCAGCCGGGGAGGAGGGACGGAGGGAGGGAGCGAGCGAGCUAGCUGCGGCCGGCCGGAGCGCGGCUGCCGGAGGAGGGCACGGCGCCUCGGCCCCGGCUCCGCUCGUCGCACCCCAGCGCUGCCAGCUCCAGAAUCGUGGCUGCGCCCCUGGCAGCCCCUCAUCGGGGCCGUAAGGACAAAGGAAAUUGAAAGUUUUGUCCUGUUUCCUCCCCGGGUGAACGCGCUCUUCUCACACCCUCCGCUUCAGGCGUUUUUGAAAUUUCUUACGUAAAGGCUCAAAGUAUAAAGAAGAGGCAUGUUUUUCCUUCAUGCAAACCGUGCUAUCUGUGCUUUGUGCCCCACUUGGCGAAAGAGGUCUGGGAAAUGGCAUGGAUGCGUGUUUUCAGUGCUUCAGGGAGGUGGCAGUAAUUCAGAAGAGUUGAAGACAGACUGUUGGAGUGGUGACCACCCUUGGCACAGCUGUGCUCUGCUCCCUGCAUGUAUGGCCUUAUUUAUCUGCUGCUCCUGUCACCGACAGGAAGAGGAUGUGGAGCAGGAUGUUAAUCUGUGAGACAGAGCCCUCCCAUCAGUACCCCCAGCCCUGGGAGCAUGGGAUGAAGCAAAAAGCCAGCUCCACUGAGACUUUUCCCGUGUUUCUCCAUCCUGAUCCAAGCUUCUUCCCUUCCUCUUUCACCUCCACACGACAGAACCUUUCCUAGCAAAUCCCUCCGGGCCAGGGAGUACUAAGGGAGAAGUAAGACUAUUGAUGUUUUAAGAAAAUAAUUUUGGUUCAAUAAUGUAUUCAUAAUCAAAAUACUUAAAAUUCCUGGGGCAAAGGAACCCUGCCCACAAAACAAUGAAUCCCUUUAAAUGAGAUUAAUUAAAAACAGUGUUGAGAGAACAUUCAUUGAAUAAGACUCAGAGAAUUCCAUCCACACCUCUCCCAACAGGUCUGAGGUGACAACAAACAUGAUGAGCUGAGUAAAGAGGGCUAGACCCUAAGCAUAGCAUCCAACAAAGCCUCUGAAGCAGGGAGUGGAUGGCA